rnacentral:lncRNA from 12 species
CUUCAAACACUGUGAAAUUCUUGCAGUACAUCAAAGUUCUUGGAAUGAUUGUGCUGCUGGGGUGGGACAUUUUAAAAUCAGAAUAAGGAAUGUUUCAGUUACUGACAGUUUGUGUAGUGGUCACUCUUGGUUCACAGUGAAACGAAUGGCUGCAUGUUCUUUCUGGUUCUGUUCUCUCUAGUGCAUGGCCAGCAGGUCCUGCUACUCCUCCGACUGGGGAGGAUGAGCACUCGGAGGACUCGGACUCAGUGGACUGGGGGCCCCCACAUUUUUUCAGAAGAGCAGAGAAUUCAGCUGAGGUACCAGCAAGGGAUGCUGAAGAGCAACCAAGAGAUCAUCAAGGGAGGUGGCCAGAGAGUGUAUACGUUGCUCGAUUUUGGAUGCAUUAUUACUCAGAUUGGUGGGAUUUGCGACGACAGCCACAGUUUGUCACAGCAGAAGAUAAUUCAGCUGUGCUAGUGAUGGGGAACAGUGGAGAGGAUGAAGAAGAUGAUAACAAUGCACAGCCAUCAGGUACUGCUAGUCUGCCAGCUACUGAGGAUGAGGACUCAGAGGUGAGGAUCCACAAGUUCUCAUCAUUUCUACUUU